GACCUGGACGACAGGGCAGAUCCGAGUUACAGUUGCAGAAAUAAAGCCAAGGCGCCAAUUAAUUUUGAGAGUUGUUUUGUCAUGUUAAUUUAGAGGUUGACGAUGUGCUUCCAAGAUGUUAAGUAUGUAACUUCUACUAUUGUACAUUAAUAUGGCGAAAAGGAAAAUUGAUGCAGUUAUUGAGAGACUGAAAGUUUGAAAUUGUUCACGAGCGAAAGAU
rnacentral:sRNA from 1 species